UAGGGAAUCUUCCACAAUGGACGCAAGUCUGAUGGAGCAACGCCGCGUGAGUGAAGAAGGUUUUCGGAUCGUAAAGCUCUGUUGUUGGUGAAGAAGGCUAGAGGCAGUAACUGGUCUUUAUUUGACGGUAAUCAACCAGAAAGUCACGGCUAACUACGUUCCAGCAGCCGCGGUAAUACGUAGGUGGCAAGCGUUGUCCGGAUUUAUUGGGCGUAAAGCGAGCGCAGGCGGAAUGAUAAGUCUGAUGUGAAAGCCCACGGCUCAACCGUGGAAAUGCAUCGGAAACUGUCAUUCUUGAGUGCAGAAGAGGAGGGUGGAAUUCCAUGUGUAGCGGUGGAAUGCGUAGAUAUAUGGAAGAACACCAGUGGCGAAGGCGGCUCUCUAGUCUGAAACUGACGCUGAGGCUCGAAAGCAUGGGUAGCGAACAGG
rnacentral:rRNA from 1 species